CAUCGUCAUAUCGAUAAUUUCAAAACAAUCAACAUAAAAGAAAAAAGAUUUUUUAAUUGUUCGUGCUGUGUUUUAUAAACACUAAUUAAAAGAACCAAUUUUAUUUUGCUUCCGCCAUCACGAACGUUAGGGCGAUUAUAAAUAAGACGAGUGAUCCGUGAAAUUUUUUAAUCUGUCUCGAAAGUACUUAAAAAUGAAACUGUUGAUUUUUUUCGGUGUUCUAGCUUUCGUGGCUAUUGAGCUAAUCCAUUCCAAACCCGUUGCCGAAGAAACUAAGAAGGAUGAAACAACACCACCCGUGACAGUUACAGAGGGGGCCGCAAGAGCUGCCGGAGUAGCAUCCGAUAAAGCUACUUCAGCGAGUACGAGCGCGUCUCAAACGGUUGCCACGGUGAAGGACGCCGCUGUCAAAUCUGCAGCUAAAUAAUUUUAAGCAGAAACUAAUUAGGGUAAAAUGAACUUGUUUUAAAUUUGUCAAAUUGCAUAGUAAAAUUCAAUAAAUAAAAUAAAAUGGGACCCAUA